rnacentral:rRNA from 1 species
AUGGGCGCCGCCGUGGCCGUUCUGCGGAGAACGGCGGCGGGCGAGGAGGCGGCGGAGGAGGAGGAGCAGUGCCGCAUCUGCCGGGACCCCGCCGACGCGGACCGCCCGCUGCGCCGCCCCUGCGGCUGCAAGGGCAGCAUGCGCUUCGUCCACGACCACUGCCAGAUCCGGUGGCUCAAAUCCCGCCGCCAAUCCUUGUGCGAGGUGUGCAGGCGCCAGAUCUUCACCCGCCCCAUCUACGCCGCGGGCACCCCGGCCCCUGCCCCGGCCCUGGCGAGGCCCGUGUGCCUGCUCUUAGCGCUGCUGUACCUCAUCUUGACAGCCCUGGUCGCUUGGGCGCUCGCCGGCCUCUGUACAUGGCGCCUCGCGCUCGCCAGGAGCCGCGACGAGGCGUUCCGUCUGCUGCUCUCGAUCCGCCUCUAUGGCCCCGCCGCCCUUGCUCACCUCGCGCUCAAGGCAGAACACACGUUUCGUGCAAACUACGGGGCACGUCUGCGCCGCUGCCAAGAUGUCACGCUGCGCCUCCUUCGGUUUUCCUUGUCGGUGGUAAUGGGUGACAUGGCUCUAGCCUGUAUAUUUGCAUUUCUCCCUUUCACACUUGGAAGGAUUGCUCUAUUGUGCAGAGCUGAAGUUGACUCAUAUGCUUCAACACCUUCUACCCUCCUAUUUGGAUAUGGAUUUAUCUUCUCACUGGGAGCAACUUUUGCUGGGCUGCAUACUUUUCAUCAAUACUUGAGGAGCGAGGACAUUUUCUUCGAGAGUCUGUUUGAUAUAUUCUUCAGCGGGAUCAUAAAGUUUAUCAUUGUUGUGAAUAUUUCUCUUAACCUCAUAAACACAGCUAUAAUAUGGCCACUGUUGUUUGCCUGGUCACUUGAUAUCUGCACUUCAAAAAUGUUUGAUGCAACCAUCUUUGAAAGGUUUAAACCUCUGUUUGCUUCGAUUUACGUUUCUACUGCUCUUCAAUGGCUUAUUGGAUGCGCACUUUUGGAUCUAGUCUCCAUAUUCUCUGGACUUCAUUCCAUGAUUUUGAGGCCAGGAGUUACAUCUCCUUUUGUCGACCAUAAUGUAAACAUCCGUGAUCCGUUCUACAAAUUUUAUUUCAAGAAGCUUCCUGGUCUUUUUAUUGGCAUCAUCCUUAUUGCUAUGGUCAUUGUUGUUCCUAUUCAAAUUGCCGGUCGAUUGUCAACCGGGAAGUUCCUAGUAGAUAUCAUCUACUUCAAUAUUCCUACAAAGGGCACAUCAUUUUGGUCAGCACCACAGAACUACACAGAUUCGCUUUGUGGUGUUCUUCUAGUGAGGUUUCUCAUUGGCCAUACGCAUGCACUCAUAGGCUUUGAGUGGAUAGUGAAGAAGGUGAUGCAUUAUACAUUUCCCACUGGACAGACUCUUGGCCUGUCAGUUUCGGUGACUGUCUGGCCCAAUGGAGCUUUUGAUCAUGACGGUGGGAGCAGUGUCGCACCAAAAGACAAAUAUGGUAGCACUAAUGAGGCUAAGGAUAAAAGACGCAGAGGUGUUCUCAAUACUUACCCUUGCACAAGGAGAUUGGUCUCACUUCGCAUAAUCCUGCAUGUGAUGCUUGGGUGUUUGACUGUUAUGAUAUGCAAUUCAGCUGUGCUUAUUUUGACAAUCUCAGUGGGGCGUGCACUGUUAUUUACCAUCCCUCAGCUGCCACUUACAGGUGGAUUGAAGUCCAAUAAUGAUCUACUUGCUUUGGUUGUCGGAUUUGGCAUCAUAUCAACUAUUAUUGCCACCUCAAGAGACUUAUUUGCCUACAUGAGUUCUGGGAGAAAGCACCUUGUAGCUUUGAAUCGUUGUCUUAUUGUGUUCUUAUGGUUUGCCAUCAUUCCCUUCCUGAUCGGGCUGCUGGUUGAUUUAUCGCUAAUAUCGCCAUUCACUGGGCCUGAUGAUGGUGUUCCAGUUCUAGACUUGUUCUACACUUGGUUCCUGGGGUGGCUAUUGCUGAAAAUCUGGGUAAAAUGGGUUCAUUGGCCAUUAUCACCAUUCCUGGCCUAUCUAACCGACGAAUCACGGGUCCCGAGGCUUACUCGGGCGAAGCUGGAUUGGCCUCGAGGGGCGAUGAUGCCUCUGCCGUGCUUCUUCCGAGAUAUUUUCGUGCCAGUCGCGACGAAACUGCUCGCCGCUCUGGGUGUUCCCUAUGUGCUCGCCGGGAGCGUCUUUCCGAGUCUCGGUUACUCCGCCGCCGUGAACUCGACGGUGCGCCGCUCGGCGUGGCUGGGCUGCAUCGGCCUCUGCGUGCUCUGCCAUCUCGCCAAGCUGUUCUGGGUCUUGAAACCGCUCGACUGUCGCGCCAAGCUGUUCUGGUUCUUCAGUGCGCUCUGCUCUCGCGCCAAGCUGUUCUGGAUCUUCUGCUUCGAAGAACUCCAUGAUUCUGUCAGGGAUGAGCGUGUUGUCAUCGGGCAGAGGUUGGAAGACUUCCCCGACGACGGCUGA